GACGAACGCUGGCGGCGUGCCUAAUACAUGCAAGUUGAGCGCUGAAGGUUGGUACUUGUACCAACUGGAUGAGCAGCGAACGGGUGAGUAACGCGUGGGGAAUCUGCCUUUGAGCGGGGGACAACAUUUGGAAACGAAUGCUAAUACCGCAUAAAAACUUUAAACACAAGGUUUAAGUGUGAAAGAUGCAAUUGCAUCACUCAAAGAUGAUCCCGCGUUGUAUUAGCUAGUUGGUGAGGUAAAGGCUCACCAAGGCGAUGAUACAUAGCCGACCUGAGAGGGUGAUCGGCCACAUUGGGACGGGGACACGGCCCAAACUCCUACGGGAGGCAGCAGUAGGGAAUCUUCGGCAAUGGACGAAAGUCUGACCGAGCAACGCCGCGUGAGUGAAGAAGGUUCUCGGAUCGUAAAACUCGGUUGGUAGAGAAGAACGUUGGUGAGAGUGGAAAGCUCAUCAAGUGACGGUAACUACACAGAAAGGAACGGCUAACUACGUG
rnacentral:rRNA from 1 species